rnacentral:rRNA from 1 species
GACGUAGGGGGCAAGCGUUAUCCGGAUUGAUUGGGCGUAAAGCGCUCGCAGGCGGUCAGGGCCGUCUCGGCUGACAAUUCCUCGCUUAACGAGGAGGGGCGUCGGGAUACCCCCUGACUUGAGGACGGGAGAGGCUGUCGGAAUUCCGGGUGGAGCGGUGAAAUGCGUAGAGAUCCGGAGGAACAUCAACAGCGAAGGCAGACAGCUGGCCCGUGCCUGACGCUCAGGAGCGAAAGCUCGGGGAG